UAAUUGAAGAGUUUGAUCAUGGCUCAGAUUGAACGCUGGCGGCAGGCCUAACACAUGCAAGUCGAGCGGAAACGAAGAGGUGCUUGCACCUCUGGCGUCGAGCGGCGGACGGGUGAGUAAUGCUUGGGAAUAUGCCUUAUGGUGGGGGACAACAGUUGGAAACGACUGCUAAUACCGCAUGAUGUCUACGGACCAAAGUGGGGGACCUUCGGGCCUCACGCCAUAAGAUUAGCCCAAGUGGGAUUAGCUAGUUGGUGAGGUAAUGGCUCACCAAGGCGACGAUCCCUAGCUGGUUUGAGAGGAUGAUCAGCCACACUGGGACUGAGACACGGCCCAGACUCCUACGGGAGGCAGCAGUGGGGAAUAUUGCACAAUGGGCGCAAGCCUGAUGCAGCCAUGCCGCGUGUGUGAAGAAGGCCUUCGGGUUGUAAAGCACUUUCAGUAAGGAGGAAAGGUUAAGUGUUAAUAGCACUUAGCUGUGACGUUACUUACAGAAGAAGCACCGGCUAACUCCGUGCCAGCAGCC
rnacentral:rRNA from 1 species